UCUGUGCUGACGCCGCGAAUCUUCCAUCGGCACGUUUAUAGAUAAUGGAAGAUUCCUCUGUUAUCUAUGAGCACGGUCGACCGUGACAAUAAAAUUAUUAUAGUUCAAUGGACGAUACGACGUCCGCGGUCCGCUAUCACAGUAUCACUACGAGCCAUUUAAUUGCCUAAUGACUUCAUUCGUUAAACAAACAAACAGUGUCAUGAUGUAGCUCAUCUUCUCAACGCAUUCUGGGCAACACAAUACACAUACUAGGUGACAAAUAAUCGUAAAACAAUGAGAAACAAGGUUCAAUUUUCUCUACAAGACCGGCCUACAAUGCAUUCAAGUUUGAUUGUCCUUCGAAAACUGUCACUUGCAAGAGCCGUGUAGCACUCAACAGAAUACAACCAUAAAUAGGCAGCUCCAUCUCAAGGAGACAGUGUUGUAACGACUACCAAAAACAAUAACAUGUCGAUAUGUACCAAAUUUGCCAUACAAAUUAAGUGUCAAUUAGGUAGUGCAUCAUAACGUGUUGUUAUCCUUGAAAAGAAUAUGAUGAUAGUUUGGUUUGAUGUCUGUCAGGAUAAC